AUUGAACGCUGGCGGUAUGCUUAACACAUGCAAGUCGAACGGUAACAGGCCUUCGGGCGCUGACGAGUGGCGGACGGGUGAGUAACGCGUAGGAAUCUGCCUCAUAGUGGGGGACAACGUGGGGAAACUCACGCUAAUACCGCAUACGCCCUACGGGGGAAAGCGGGGGACCUUCGGGCCUCGCGCUAUGAGAUGAGCCUGCGUUAGAUUAGCUAGUUGGUGGGGUAAAGGCCUACCAAGGCGACGAUCUAUAGCUGGUCUGAGAGGACGAUCAGCCACACUGGGACUGAGACACGGCCCAGACUCCUACGGGAGGCAG
rnacentral:rRNA from 1 species